CCUACGGGUGGCUGCAGUGGGGAAUAUUGGACAAUGGGCGAAAGCCUGAUCCAGCCAUGCCGCGUGUGUGAAGAAGGCCUUCGGGUUGUAAAGCACUUUCAGUGGGGAAGAAAGCCUUGGGGCUAAUACCCUCGAGGAAGGACAUCACCCACAGAAGAAGCACCGGCUAACUCCGUGCCAGCAGCCGCGGUAAUACGGAGGGUGCGAGCGUUAAUCGGAAUUACUGGGCGUAAAGCGCGCGUAGGCGGUCUGAUAAGCCGGUUGUGAAAGCCCCGGGCUCAACCUGGGAACGGCAUCCGGAACUGUCGGGCUAGAGUGCAGGAGAGGAAGGUAGAAUUCCCGGUGUAGCGGUGAAAUGCGUAGAGAUCGGGAGGAAUACCAGUGGCGAAGGCGGCCUUCUGGACUGACACUGACGCUGAGGUGCGAAAGCGUGGGUAGCAAACAGGAUUAGAUACCCGGGUAGUC
rnacentral:rRNA from 1 species